GAUGAACGCUAGCUACAGGCUUAACACAUGCAAGUCGAGGGGCAGCAUGGACAUAGCUUGCUAUGUUUGAUGGCGACCGGCGCACGGGUGCGUAACACGUAUCCAAUCUGCCCGUUACUCGGGGAUAGCCUUCUGAAAGGAAGAUUAAUACCCGAUGGCAUGUAUUUCCGGCAUCGGAGCUACAUUCAAGAUUUAUCGGUAACGGAUGAGGAGGCGUACGAUUAGCUUGUUGGCGGGGUAACGGCCCAACACGGCAACGAACGUUAGGGGUACUGAGAGGAAGGUCCCCCACACUGGAACUGAGACACGGUCCAGACUCCUACGGGAGGCAGCAGUGAGGAAUAUUGGUCAAUGGUCGGAAGACUGAACCAGCCAAGUAGCGUGAAGGAUGACUGCCCUACGGGUUGUAAACUUCUUUUGUUUGGGAAUAAAAGACGCUACGUGUAGCGUUCUGCAUGUACCUUACGAAUAAGCAUCGGCUAAUUCCGUGCCAGCCGCCGCAGUAACAC
rnacentral:rRNA from 1 species